GGGGGGGGGGGGGGGGGGGGGGGGCGGGGGGGGGGCGGGCGGGUGAAGGGGGCUUGCUGCGGGAUUCCGCGGCGGGCGGGUGGGUAGUGCCUAGGAGUCUGCCUGGUAGUGGGGGGUGACGUCCGGGAACGGGCGCUAAUCCCGCAUACGUCCGGCGGGGGACAGUGGGGGAUCUUCGGACCUCACGCUAUCAGCUGAGCCUAGGUCGGAUUAGCUAGUUGGUGGGGUAAAGGCCUACCACGGCGACGAUCCGUAACUGGUCUGAGAGGAUGAUCAGUCACACGGGAACUGAGACACGGUCCAGACUCCUGCGGGACGCAGCAGUGGGGAAUAUUGGACAAUGGGCGAAAGCCUGAUCCAGCCAUGCCGCGUGUGUGAAGAAGGUCUUCGGAUUGGAAAGCACUUUAAGUUGGGAGGAAGGGCAGUAAGUUAAUACCUUGCUGUUUUGACGUUACUAACAGAAUAAGCACCGGCUAACUUCGUG
rnacentral:rRNA from 1 species